rnacentral:rRNA from 1 species
GACGGAGGAUGCAAGUGUUAUCCGGAAUCACUGGGCGUAAAGCGUCUGUAGGUGGUUUAAUAAGUCCACUGUUAAAAAUUGAAGCUUAACUUCAAAGAUGCCGUGGAAACUUUUAAACUUGAGUAUGAUAGGGGUAGAGGGAAUUUCCAGUGGAGCGGUGAAAUGCGUAGAUAUUGGAAAGACCACCAAUGGCGAAGGCACUCUACUGGGCCAUUACUGACACUGAGAGACGAAAGCUAGGGGAGCGAAUGGG